rnacentral:misc_RNA from 1 species
AACCAUUCUCACCUGCGGCUAGACCUGCGGAGGGAUCAUUAAAAAGAGUGUGUAUCCCCCUGUAAAAUGGGUGGGUUACCUCCCGUCCUUUGUUGACCUCUUAGGAGGUUAUUUUGAACUUUCUGCUUCGGUGGGGUUAAACCUACCGGAACACCCUCAAAUUCUAAUCUUUAAAAAUUGUUCAGUCCGAUUCUAAUAAAAUAAAACAAAAACUUUUAACAACGGAUCUCAGAUCGGAAG